UCCAAAGGGACUUACAAAUGAGGACAAUAAAAGCAAUCAAAACCAACAAAAAAGCAAUGAUAUGCAAGUUCUAGAACAAGUCUCAGUUAGCUUAACGCAGUACACAUAGCAAGGUUUUUGUUGUUUUAAUCGUUCUAAUAUGCUGAUUUGCUGCUUAAGAAACAUUUCUGAUUAUUAUUAAUGUUGAAAUAAGUUGUGCUGCACAUUAUUUUUGUGGAAACCGUGAUACAUUUUAUUUUCAGGAUUCUUUGAUGAAUGGAAAGUUUAAAAGAACAGCAUUUAUUCGAAAUAGGAAUCUAAUACCAUAAUAAGUCACUUUUAAUGACUUUACUGUCACUUUAAUGUGUCCUUGCUGAAUAAAAGUAUUAAUUAUACUGACUCAAACUUCUGAACAGUAGUGUAUGAAUGUUCCAGUUCUUGUUGUUUUCACUCUCAUUAUCACUGCUCUCUUCAGUGCUUGUUUCUGAUUGGUCAGCAGGCAGCAGUGGGUGUGGCUCAGAGAAACCCAGUGUCAGUGACAUCAUUAACUUUGAGAUGUUGCAACUUGGUGGAUCCAAACUGAAAUCAAGUAACACACAGUCAGGCUGGUCCUGUCCUUCCUGUACAUUCAUAAAUAAGUCUACGAGACCCGGCCGUGAAACCUGCAGCACAGAUCGACCCAAUCCUCUCAAUCACAGCAGCGUUCAGCAGGAACAAGCAAGAAGAUCGAACCUGUGA
rnacentral:lncRNA from 1 species